UAGGGAAUCUUCGACAAUGGACGCAAGCCUGAUGGAGCAACGCCGCGUGAGUGAAGAAGGUUUUCGGAUUGUAAAGCUCUUUUGGUGGGGAAGAAGGAGAGAGGUAGUAACUGGUCCUUAUUUGACGGUAAUCAACGAGAAAGUCACGGCUAACUACGUGCCAGCAGCCGCGGUAAUACGUAGGUGGCAAGCGUUGUCCGGAUUUAUUGGGCGCAAAGCGAGCGCAGGCGGAAUGAUAAGUCUGGUGUGAAAGCCCAGGGCUCAACCGUGGAACUGCAUCGGAAACUGUCAUUCUUGAGUGCAGAAGAGGAGAGUGGAAUUCCAUGUGUAGCGGUGGAAUGCGUAGAUAUAUGGAAGAACACCAGUGGCGAAGGCGGCUCUCUGGUCUGAUACUGACGCUGAGGCUCGAAAGCAUGGGUAGCGAACAGG
rnacentral:rRNA from 1 species